rnacentral:lncRNA from 1 species
AUGACCUCCCAGCCGCAGUUUCGCAAACCAACAGCAGCACUCUACAGAGCGCAACGCAUGACCAUCUGCUCUGCUCUUGGUAGUCUCACACGCUGUACCAGGGAGAAAAGCUAUUGCACAACACAAGGAGCAGCAAGAUGUUUGUUUGUUUUUCCAGGUGAUAAUUUUGGCCUCGCAGUUACCAUAAACAUGACGAAUGGGUCUGCUGUGGAUUUAACACAAUUUUGUGGUGAUGGAAUUUAUGUGAGAGAGCCCAAGCUCUGUGUUCAGCUCAUCACCACACUUGGUCUCACAGGAGUACAGCACAACCAACUGCAAGAGCAGCAAACGCUUCCUUCUUCCUGA